AGGACGUGGGACUACCCGGACGAAAGUCCGGCUAAUACCGGAUAACAACGGAGAUCGCAUGAUUUCCGCUUGAAAGGUGCGUUUGCACCACCUUUAGAUGGACCUGCGGCACAUUAGCUAGUUGGUGAGAUAACAGCCCACCAAGGCGAGGAUGUGUAGCCGACCUGGGAGGGUGACCGGCCACAAUGGGACUGAGACACGGCCCAUACUCCUACGGGAGGCAGCAGUAGGGAGUUUUCGGCAAUGGGCGAAAGCCUGACCGAGCAACGCCGCGUGAGUGAUGAAGGUUACUUCGGAUUGUAAAGCUCUGUCAGGAGGGACGAAAUCUGCGAUCAGGAAAUGGGUUGCAGUUGACGGUACCUCGUUAGGAAGUGACGGCUAACUACGUGCCAGCAGCCGC
rnacentral:rRNA from 1 species